rnacentral:rRNA from 1 species
AAUGAACGCUGGCGGCAUGCCUAACACAUGCAAGUCGAACGAAGGCUUCGGCCUUAGUGGCGCACGGGUGCGUAACGCGUGGGAAUCUGCCCCUUGGUUCGGAAUAACAGUUAGAAAUGACUACUAAUACCGGAUGAUGACGUAAGUCCAAAGAUUUAUCGCCGAGGGAUGAGCCCGCGUAGGAUUAGCUAGUUGGUGUGGUAAGAGCGCACCAAGGCGACGAUCCUUAGCUGGUCUGAGAGGAUGAUCAGCCACACUGGGACUGAGACACGGCCCAGACUCCUACGGGAGGCAGCAGUGGGGAAUAUUGGACAAUGGGCGAAAGCCUGAUCCAGCAAUGCCGCGUGAGUGAUGAAGGCCUUAGGGUUGUAAAGCUCUUUUACCCGGGAUGAUAAUGACAGUACCGGGAGAAUAAGCUCCGGCUAACUCCGUG